rnacentral:rRNA from 1 species
UACGUAGGGUGCAAGCGUUGUCCGGAAUUAUUGGGCGUAAAGAGCUCGUAGGCGGUUUGUCGCGUCUGCUGUGAAAACGCGAGGCUCAACCUCGCGCCUGCAGUGGGUACGGGCAGACUGGAGUGCGGUAGGGGAGAAUGGAAUUCCCGGUGUAGCGGUGAAAUGCGCAGAUAUCGGGAGGAACACCGGUGGCGAAGGCGGUUCUCUGGGCCUUACCUGACGCUGAGGAGCGAAAGCGUGGGGAGCGAACAGG